ensembl:lncRNA
GCGUUGCCGGGACUCCGGGAGGUGAAAGGGGACAGAAAGCUGCGGGCGUCGCGUCCUUGCACGAACCCCGUGUUUUAAGGAGAAUUUCGGUCCCAGCAAAAACUGACCACCCGGAGUCUUCCACCGUCUCUCUUUAUAAAUCUCUUCGAACCUCAAGCAACUCCCUGCCUCCUUCGUCUGGGGUCUGCGCCCAGCGGGGUCAAAGCCUUGAGUUCCUUGGCAGAGAGUGUGGAACAGCCGUGAGCCCUUCAAGACACGCCAGUGAGCCCGGUGAUUUUUUUUUUCAAGGGGCCUUGGAUGGUCUGCACCUUCACGUUGCCCCGGAAAGGUGCGCAGGGCACCCAGAGAGGCCUCUGGUCAGCAGUGGGACUGGGCCGAGCCCCAACAGUUUACCCCUCAGGCUCAGGUUGGCUGGGGUUAAAGGGCAAAGUCAGGGUCGAGGGCGCCAGCUUUUCUCGGCGGUAACAGCUGCCACCCAAAUUAUGCCCCCUCAGGAAGCGAAUGAAUUGUUCCUUUCUCCCAGCUCCCUGCUGCCCGCUCCAAAACAGACGGGCCGCGCUUGGCGGUCGCCCCUCCUCCCAGCCAACCGUUCCUCCCAGACAUUCAGGGGCCACGGUGCUCCUCCCCUGGGAGGCAAUCUGGGGGAGCCGUGGUCCCGAACUUUGACAGAGUGGGACCUCCCCACUACUCGCCGGCUGCGCUCAGGGCGCCCCCCGCGACAAUGUUGAUGGGAGCUCCAGGGAUGGCUCCCUGUGUGGCUCUCUGAAGGAGUUGAAGUUCAUUGUUGGCCAGGCUGGAGUUCCUGCGCCAGCGUGAGGGGACAAGGAUUGCCUUGGGCCCAGCGUGGUAGCAUUUUGGCCAGUCCAGUUGGGCUUAAUUGUGUCUGUGUAGGUUUUGGGGAGGAAUCGGCGCAGAGCCCGUCACUCGCGCGAAACAUGCGUUGGUUCGGGAAGUGAGCAGCGGCGGCUGCGCCUGGAGGGUCGCUCCCAUCUCUCUUACCCCAGCUACAGGCAAACAAACCUCCUUUUCGAUCGUGCAACACAAAACCCGCCCCGAGCCGCGCGGGGGCCCGGCAGGCGCAGCUGCGGCCCCGGGAAGCGCAGUCCCGCGGGGCUGCGGAGCCCACGCGCUUCUCAGGCUCCGACCAAAGAGCUCGGUUCUGCCUCUAGCCCUGGUCAAGAAAAAUCCAAAAAGAACACUAUGAUUAAAAUUAUUCACAAUCUAUUUAUACAAAACUGGGGGUGUCUUUUACCCUGUCCUCUUCUUCAUUUACCCUUCCCAAAUGACCCCCACCCCCGUUUUUUCUUUUCAUGUUCCUGUUUCAACCUGUCUGUAACCCAGUGUGAUAUGUUCGAUUUCCUCGUAAUUGGUUUUAAACCCCUUUGCCCAGUCUCAUCCUGUCCAGUCAUCUGGGCGCCAAGUCUCUCCUCCCGAUCAGAGGUUCGGAAAUUUUACUUAGCAACUGCUCUCCUGGCUGUGUUCCUGUCUGGCGGGACGCAGGGGUGAAUUCAGAGAUGUCAGAACACACCCCUAAAUACGACCUUCACCCCCACUUCCAGACACACACCCCCUGCGCCGAAGCACAGAGCCAGACCAGUAGCCGGGGAAUUCGAUUCACAGGGAGAGCCAGUCUGGGUUUUAUAAAUGGAAAAAGUGGCUGUCCCCGUGGCCUCUCUUCGAACGUGAAUUUUACAAUUUUGGGUUUUUUAUUUUUUAAACUGGAACCUUUACUCUUUGUCCGACUACAAAGAAAUAGCUUUACUUGACAUAUCAGAGACCUGCCGAACAUUUAACUCACAAUUCUUUAUGAAAUGAUUUUUUAAAAAAUAUCUAACUUCAUUAACUCUCA